CAUAAAUGCCAUUUCUAUCUAUGCUCUUAUCAGCACUGGACCGGAGGACACAGACUGCCCUUCCUUGUCCCUGCGACUACAGCCUCUUUAAAGAAUCUGGGGCCACUGCUUACCAUUGUGCUGUCCUACAGGAAGAUUUUUCUAACAUCCACCAAACCAUACAAAAGAGAGGAUGGCACUAUCUCAACCAUUGGGAGGAGGUGUUCCACAGGGACGAAUGCAUCUUUAUCUCUUUAGGGAGAUACUUCUCCCACCAUAAAGGAUUCUGCCUUGUCUUACUGUGA